GCUCGGGUGGCGGAAUUGGCAGACGCGCAUGGUUGAGGGCCAUGUGGAGAGAUCCGUGGGGGUUCGAGUCCCCCCCCGAGCACCA
rnacentral:tRNA from 2 species